GUUGGCUUGGAAGCAGCCAUUCAUUUAAAGAGUGCGUAACAGCUCACUAGUCGAGGAGUCCGGCGUGGAUAAUACUCGGGCAUAAACUGUUUACCGAAGCUAUGGAUGUAGAAAUACAUGGUAGGGGAGCAUUCCAACGGCGUCGAAGGUGAAGGAUGACCUUUGCUGGAGCUUUUGGAAACGCAAAUGUAGGUAUAAGUAACGAUAAAGGAGGUGAGAAACCUCCUCGCCGAAAGACUAAGGUUUCCUGAUCAACGUUAAUCGGAUCAGGGUAAGUCGGGACCUAAGGUUAAGCCGAACGGCGAUACCGAUGGAAGAAUGGUUUAAUAUUCCCAUACUACUUUAUGGAGCGAUGUGGAGACGGAGAAGUGAAAGUCCUGCCAUCUGACGGAAUAGGUGGUUGAAGAGUGUAGAUGUAGAUUCCUGUAGGCAAAUCCGCAGGGAGAGUCGACCUUGACAGUAUGCCGCGUGCUUGCACAAGGCAAAAUGGACGUAAUCAGGCUCCCAAGAAAAUCCGCUAAGCAUAUUCAUAAAGUACCCGUACCGUAAACGGACACACGUAGUUGGGUUGAAAAUACUGAGGCGCUCGAGUGAUUCACGGUUAAGGAACUAGGCAAAUUGACCCUGUAACUUCGGGAUAAAGGGUCCCUACUGAGAGGUAGGGCGCAGAGAAUAGGUCCAGGCAACUGUUUAACAAAAACACAUGGCUGUGCGAAAUAGAAAUAUGAAGUAUACAGCCUGACACCUGCCCGGUGCUGGAAGGUUAAGAGGAGAGCUCAUCGCAAGAGAAGGCUUGAAUUGAAGCCCCAGUAAACGGCGGCCGUAACUAUAACGGUCCUAAGGUAGCGAAAUUCCUUGUCGGGUAAGUUCCGACCUGCACGAAUGGUGUAAUGAUCUGGACACUGUCUCAACCGUGAGCUCGGUGAAAUUGUAGUAUCGGUGAAGAUGCCGAUUACCCGCGAUGGGACGAAAAGACCCCGUGAACCUUUACUAUAGCUUUACAUUGAAUUUGGGCAAUCGAUGUGUAGGAUAGGCCGGAGACCGUGAAGCAGGUACGCCAGUAUUUGUGGAGUCGCCGUUGAAAUACGGCCCUUUGGUUGUUUGAGUUCUAACCCGCAGAAGCGGGGACACUGUAUGGUGGGUAGUUUGACUGGGGUGGUCGCCUCCAAAAGAGUAACGGAGGCUUCUAAAGGUACCCUCAGACCGAUUGGUAACCGGUCGUAGAGUGUAAUGGCAUAAGGGUGCUUGACUGGGAGACAGACAAGUCGAUCAGGUAGGAAACUAGAGCAUAGUGAUCCGGUGGUUCCGCAUGGAA
rnacentral:rRNA from 1 species